GAUUUACAUUUGAGUGAGUGGCGAACUGGUGAGUAACACGUGGGAAACCUGCCCAGAAGCGGGGGAUAACACCUGGAAACAGAUGCUAAUACCGCAUAACAACUUGGACCGCAUGGUCCGAGCUUGAAAGAUGGCUUCGGCUAUCACUUUUGGAUGGUCCCGCGGCGUAUUAGCUAGAUGGUGGGGUAACGGCUCACCAUGGCAAUGAUACGUAGCCGACCUGAGAGGGUAAUCGGCCACAUUGGGACUGAGACACGGCCCAAACUCCUACGGGAGGCAGCAGUAGGGAAUCUUCCACAAUGGACGAAAGUCUGAUGGAGCAACGCCGCGUGAGUGAAGAAGGGUUUCGGCUCGUAAAACUCUGUUGUUAAAGAAGAACAUAUCUGAGAGUAACUGUUCAGGUAUUGACGGUAUUUAACCAGAAAGCCACGGCUAACUACGUGCCAGCAGCCGCGGUAAUACGUAGGUGGCAAGCGUUGUCCGGAUUUAUUGGGCGUAAAGCGAGCGCAGGCGGUUUUUUAAGUCUGAUGUGAAAGCCUUCGGCUCAACCGAAGAAGUGCAUCGGAAACUGGGAAACUUGAGUGCAGAAGAGGACAGUGGAACUCCAUGUGUAGCGGUGAAAUGCGUAGAUAUAUGGAAGAACACCAGUGGCGAAGGCGGCUGUCUGGUCUGUAACUGACGCUGAGGCUCGAAAGUAUGGGUAGCAAACAGGAUUAGAUACCCUGGUAGUCCAUACCGUAAACGAUGAAUGCUAAGUGUUGGAGGGUUUCCGCCCUUCAGUGCUGCAGCUAACGCAUUAAGCAUUCCGCCUGGGGAGUACGGCCGCAAGGCUGAAACUCAAAGGAAUUGACGGGGGCCCGCACAAGCGGUGGAGCAUGUGGUUUAAUUCGAAGCUACGCGAAGAACCUUACCAGGUCUUGACAUACUAUGCAAAUCUAAGAGAUUAGACGUUCCCUUCGGGGACAUGGAUACAGGUGGUGCAUGGUUGUCGUCAGCUCGUGUCGUGAGAUGUUGGGUUAAGUCCCGCAACGAGCGCAACCCUUAUUAUCAGUUGCCAGCAUUAAGUUGGGCACUCUGGUGAGACUGCCGGUGACAAACCGGAGGAAGGUGGGGAUGACGUCAAAUCAUCAUGCCCCUUAUGACCUGGGCUACACACGUGCUACAAUGGAUGGUACAACGAGUUGCGAACUCGCGAGAGUAAGCUAAUCUCUUAAAGCCAUUCUCAGUUCGGAUUGUAGGCUGCAACUCGCCUACAUGAAGUCGGAAUCGCUAGUAAUCGCGGAUCAGCAUGCCGCG
rnacentral:rRNA from 2 species